AUUGAACGCUGGCGGCAGGCCUAACACAUGCAAGUCGAACGAGUGGCGGACGGGUGAGUAAUGUCUGGGAAUCUGCCUGAUGGAGGGGGAUAAGUACUGGAAACGGUAGCUAAUACCGCAUACCAUCGGAUGUGCCGAGAUGGGAUUAGCUAGGAGGUGGGGUAACGGCUUACCAAGGCGACGAUCCCUACCUGGUCUGAGAGGAUGACCAGCCACACUGGAACUGAGACACGGUCCAGACUCCUACGGGAGGCAGCAGUGGGGAAUAUUGCACAAUGGGCGCAAGCCUGAUGCAGCCAUGCCGCGUGUAUGAAGAAGGCCUUCGGGUUGUAAAGUACUUUAAGCGAGGAGGCGUUACUCGCAGAAGAAGCACCGGCUAACUCCGUGCCAGCAGCCGCGGUAAUUC
rnacentral:rRNA from 1 species